GCCUAGUUAGCUUAGUUGGUAGUAGUGCGUCUGCCUUGUAAGCGCUAGGCCGCGGGUUCGAUUCCCGCCCGGGGCG
rfam:Asian citrus Psyllid, Diaphorina citri - Florida Strain, whole genome shotgun sequence.